AUGAGCGUGCACUGGUAUUUUCAGUCCCAUUCAUUUGCGAGUUGUUUCAAAGACACGCCCACAACAAGGGAACUAAUGAUUAUUCUCGUAAACUCCACCCAACGGGAACAGUUUUUUACAGGAACCGAAUAUUACACAACACCGGCUUUCACAAUCUCUUCACGGCGGCAGUCACGUCGGUUUCAAUUUGUUAUUGAAACUAUUAUUAACAACCAAGUCAAGACUCGACUACACAAAACGCUGCUGCUGCGAGCCACUUCCACCGUCUGUAACUCCCCAACCGAACCUCGAUGGACAACUGGACCUUUUUGGAUGCACCCAGCGGAAAAGCCCUGUUAUCAUGUCCAUCUUUGCGCACACACAAGCUUUAUAUGGAGCAUGAAUGAAGUCUGCAUCAAUGAGGCCACUGAAGACACCACUGUUGGGAUUUAUGUUUUCAAACAACAUGCUUCUGAUGAACCAGAGGAUGUUGGUGUUGUCCUUGAAAGCAUUAAAGGGAUAGUUCACCCAAAAAAAUCUAAAUACUGUCAUUAAUUACUCACCCACAUGUCAUUCCAAACCUGUAAGACCUUCGUUCAUCUUCAGAAACAAAAAAAAUUAAGAUAUUUUUGAUUUCCUCCAUUAUGAAGAGUCCUUUUUUUUUAUUAUUACUGAUAUCCUUCCUAUGUUUCUGGGUCUUGGAACAUUUCAGUUGCAUUGCUGUCUUCGGAGGGUCAGAGAGCUCUCAGAUUUCAACAAAAAUAUCUUCAUUUGUAUUCUGAAGAUGAACAAAGGUCUUACAUGUUUGGAACAACAUGAAGGGUGAGUUAUUAAUGAAAGAAUUGUAAUUUCUGGGUGAACUAACUCUUUAAGAUGCAUGGUUAACCUUCACAGUGAACUGUAACAAGCUAUUGCUCUAUUUUAACUUUUUCACAUUGUGCAAUGUUUGGAUUACUAUUUUGUAUAUGCGCUUUUAAGUCUACUGUGAUAGUUAAUAUUUUUUACAAAUGUCUUGCUGUUCUUCAUCCAAUUUGUCAAUACAUUAUGUAUUUUUGGUUGAAUAUGCUAUUGAUGCAUUAAAGUGUUUUUUUUAUUAUUAUUAUUCUUCUGUGUAAUCAAUUUAUAGCAACUGUGCUCAGUCCUCCAUUUGUAAAUGUGUAGUUAACAACUCAAUACAAAAAAAAUAAAAGUACCAACUCUUGCUUUUUGCCUUUGUCA
ensembl:lncRNA